UACAGAGGGUGCUAGCGUUGCUCGGAAUCACUGGGCGUAAAGCGUGCGCAGGCGGUUUUGUAAGCCGGAUGUGAAAUCCCCGGGCUUAACCUGGGAAUGGCAUUCGGGACUGCAAGGCUGGAGUGCGGCAGAGGAGACUGGAAUUCCUGGUGUAGCAGUGAAAUGCGUAGAUAUCAGGAGGAACACCGAUGGCGAAGGCAGGUCUCUGGGCUGACACUGACGCUCAUGCACGAAAGCGUGGGGAGCAAACAGG
rnacentral:rRNA from 1 species